UACGUAGGGUGCAAGCGUUAAUCGGAAUUACUGGGCGUAAAGCGUGCGCAGGCGGCUUUGCAAGUCAGAUGUGAAAUCCCCGGGCUUAACCUGGGAACUGCAUUUGAGACUGCAUGGCUGGAGUGCGGGAGAGGGGGGUGGAAUUCCGCGUGUAGCAGUGAAAUGCGUAGAUAUGCGGAGGAACACCGAUGGCGAAGGCAGUCCCCUGGGCCUGCACUGACGCUCAUGCACGAAAGCGUGGGGAGCAAACAGG
rnacentral:rRNA from 1 species